rnacentral:lncRNA from 1 species
CUUCAUUGUUUUGCUUGUAGGAAUUUAGGCUUCGAUUAUCUUGAUGUUCGCUGUUUAAAUCUAGCUGGCAAUGUAACAUACCUAAUACAUGAUGUUCUAAUGCAAAAAUAUAUAUGCUAAAACACAAAUAGUAUCAACUAGUAUGAAAACUGGACCCACAGGCAUCAUCAUAUUGAGUUCGAGCUUCAAAUCCAAUCAUUUUCAAAUGUUC